rnacentral:rRNA from 1 species
UACGGAGGGUGCAAGCGUUAUCCGGAUUCACUGGGUUUAAAGGGUGCGUAGGCGGACAGGUAAGUCAGUGGUGAAAUCCCCGAGCUUAACUCGGGAACUGCCGUGGAUACUAUCGAUCUUGAAUACUGUGGAGGUAAGCGGAAUAUGUCAUGUAGCGGUGAAAUGCUUAGAUAUGACAUAGAACACCGAUAGCGAAGGCAGCUUGCUACACAGUUAUUGACACUGAGGCACGAAAGCGUGGGGAGCAAACAGG